UCUUCUCUUCUCUUCUCUUCUCUUCUCUUCUCUUCUCUUCUCUUCUCUUCUCUCCUCUUCUCUUCUCUUCUCUUUUUUUCUCUUCUCGCCUCUUCUCUCCUCUUCUCUCUCUUUGCAAUAUUUAGGGAAUUAAUUAUUCCACAGAAUAUAUACUACAUAUCCCAUUACACAUUAUCUGUGUGCAUAUAUGUGUGUGUGUAUGGGUAAAAGUGCUGAAUAGUGCAAGGAAGGAGCAGAUGAAAAUUUCCAUUUUUGUGGUUCUUUGAAAUUGGCAGCCUCUGCUGGCUGGGUUGGCUCUGGGAAUCACCUACAGCCUGCCCUGGUCUGGAGUCAGCCAGCUGCUAAGGUGAAAGCCCUCCUUCCCUGAGCUCCGGGACACUGUUUCCCAGGGCUUCCCCAAUCUCUGCUUCCCUGGGAUGGCGCCUCACUAACCCUUUUAGUGGCUUUCCUGGGGUAGGUCCUCCCCCUGGGAGUUUCCAGUCCUCCAGACAGCACUGGAGAGCCGCCUGCAGAGGGUCACUGUGGUCUCACCGAGCGCUAGCUCAUCAGGUCACCUGGCUGGAUGUCAGACAGGGGUCCAAGGCUUGGCUUUGAGUUGAAGUGCCACUUGCUCCCCAGGGGAUAGUAGGAACAGGAAAUGUGUUCUUUUGGACCUCUGCACUUUGCCUUUAAGGGACUAGAGACCCCCUGGGUCUUCCAUUGCCAAUGCCAGCAAGGUUUAGCAGAGGACACACAGAGCAUUGCAGCCAACAGACUGGGCUUCAAAUGUUGGCUCCCAGACUUCGGUAAGUCACUUCUCUGAGCCUCACUUUUUCUGUCUGUAAAAUGGGGAACAAUACUGCCGUUCUUGCACUGUUGUUGGGAGAAUGGAAGUAGUGUUUAUGUAAUGCCUGGUCAAUGAAAAACUGCUAUUAUUAAUAUGAAUGUAAGAUUAUAAGUAAGUGUGAAGCAGUUGCAUGCUUUUUUGAGCACUCUCUCUCCUGUAGGGCUUAUAUCCAUAGAAGAAUGAGUAAAAUCAACUCUGGUCUAAAUAUUCCCAAGGAUGAGUGGUGGGUUCAGAAGGUAGUCGGGUCUGCUGCUUGACCUUUAUCAAGCAGAGCACUCUGUUGCCAGCUGGUGAAAUACGGCCAGACUUAGUUGUUUUCCUCAGUUCUCUGUUGGCCCAUAAACUGGAAUACACAACAGCUAGAUCUUUGCCUAUAGCUACAAGCAGCUGGGCAUGGUGACUGGGAGGUCUCCUGGCUGCAUCCAUCCCCAGAUGCACCAGAAACGGUCUCUGUAGAGAGAAAUGUCUCCACUGCCGUCUUUUAAAGCUUGGCAUAGAUUUAGCCAAUUCAGCUUCUUCUCUCUCCCUCCCUCUCUCCCUCCCUCCCUCCCUCUCUCCACCUCCUUCCCCCUCAUCCUGGCCCCUCAUUUGCAAAAAGUUGGAUGACUGACAUGGAAAUAUGGGAAAGAAAUAUCACAACCCUAAAAGGAAAUGGGGCAGCCUGGCAGUACCCAUUCCACAGAUUGGUCGGUAUGUUCUGCAGGGCGUUCUUGUAUGCAAAGAUGACAAUAUUGAUCCCUAUAUCAUCGAGCCUUUGAGCUAUACUAAGCACUUUCCCACAUCAUAACCUCAAUGAUUUUUAUGUCAACAUUGCAGGGGAUAAAUGAUCAUUUAAAGCUUCACAGAUAAAGAAACUGAGGCUGAUAAAAAUGUGCGUAUUUUUCUAAGCCUCAGUUUGCAUAGCUGGUAAAAGGCAAAAGCUGGGAUCCAGGCCCAGGUCUGUAUGAUGUUGACACUCACCCCUUUUCCCGGUGCCGCCAAGCUCCCUAUAGCAGAGAGUUGCGUCAGGGCAAUAGAUCCCAGUUCUUCUUCUAAAGAGCAGGAAUGGCCAAAUCUUCUGAUGGUUUUAAGUGGCGUGAACAUACAUCCUGCAUGUGAUACGUACUUAUAGGCAGCAACAAUAAGAUCACCUGUGGAAUAAUUUUCCUACUCUCCCACUCCUGCUGGGGCUCCAGAUACUCAGCAAGCGAGGCUGUCUGGCUCUGGGCCAUUGACUUCCUGAGCGAUCCUUUUAAGACUCCAGCUCAAGUCUGUCCCCAAAUCCAGUUACUUGGUGAAGCAGUAGACAAGAGGAAAGCAGUCCCCUCUACGCUCGCCCCAACCUCACUCUUCUGCUGGGCAGGUGGUAAUUUGCAGCCACUUCAUCAUGUCCCCAUCGGAUUUGAUGGACCCAGCCAUGGGCAAGCUACGGCCCGCGGGCCGGAUCCGGCCCGUUUGGCUGUUCUGUCCGGCCUGCGGAGCCGAAAGAGCGGAGGGUUCUCUUGCUCUCCCCUCCGCUCCUUCACCAGCAGCAGUGUUAACAUGGCAACGUCGGGAAACACGGCCGCAGCUCCUUCUUCUGAGUCCAGUUUAAGAACCCAUUGUGGCCCUCGAGUCAAAAAGUUUGUCCACCCCUGGUAGACCUAGUAGUUACAUUCGUCAUCACCCAACCUCUGACUCAGGCGAAUCUCAAGACACUGUCGGAUACCCUAGGACCAAAGGGUCAUUUUGAAUCUGGGUUUACAGUUUUAACUUUAAAUCACUUCCCAGGACAGUGUGUCUGUUGUUCGAGGCAUUUUGUCAAGUCAGACAAGGAGUCAGCCAGGGCUUCUCGUUUGUGUGCAAAGUCCUGGAAUAAAUCACUUCACUGUGGUGACAAAUGUGUCUUCCUCCUCCCUGUUCUCUUGCUUAAAACGAUUUGAACAAGAUGCAGGGCCGGUUUCCAAGAUGCAAGGCUGCUCCAAGGACAUCACAGAAGGCCGUGCGGGGCUCUUUGUCCACCAGCUAAAGUGGCCCUGGCAUAUGUCAGUGAAGUAAAGAUCUGAUUUGCUCCUGCAGUUUUAUUUCUUCCAAAGGAGAAAGCCAGUCAGAUUUUGGUAGAGGGAGCCUCUGGCCUGGGGUAUCAGAGGCCUGGAUUCUACUUUAGUCUACUGGUGUGUGUGUGUGUGUGUGUGUGUGUGUGUGUGUGUGUGUGUCCCGCCCCCACUCCCCACAGUCCUGCAGUGAUUCUGGAAUUGAUGAGCUAUUGGCCCAUCAGUGCUAGUGGGGAAAUGUGCGAUGAAAUCGUGGGCGGUGGCUGUCCCUGACAACCUGAGGACUGGGGGCUUCCGCAGACACUCGCCUACGAGAGGAGUUUCCUUCCGGUGGCUGGGGCCAGAGUGCUGUAUAAGAUGCUCUGGGAAAUAUACAAGUAGCCCUUGUUCAUUGCCACUUGGAAUCUAAAUCUGGAGGGGAAAUGGCAGUAAGAAGCUGACAGGAAUGAACUUUCAUGUAUCUACAUCCACAGUAACAUAUUUUUUCAGCAUCUUCUAUGCCAAGAAUUCAGUGCCAGACUCCAUGGGGAAAAUAAAUGACGAAUAAAGCCAGGUCUUUGGUUUGGAGAGCAUGUUACCUAGUCGGGAAGGUAGGCAUAAAUGUAAGCCAUCAGAAGCAAUGUAGGAUGACCGCCAAAGUUACAUGGAUGAUACAGUUAGAGUCAGAGGUUCCCGAGGGCAGUGUGCCCUACGCCCUAAAGUACAAUGAGAAAGACAAGGUGAGAGACGGCCAUUGAAGGGUGUAAGGCUAAGCCAAAGACAAACGGAGACAUGGAGACAGGAAGAGAGGGCUCUCCAAGUAAGGAGCGAUGCACAGGCGGCAGAAGGAGGAAGUGUGUGUGGAGUGUUUGGUGAUGCGGAGGAGAACCGCUGGAAUCCUAGGGAAGCUUUGAAAAACUACUGAUGCCCCCACCCUCUCUCCCAAGUCUUCAUCGAGUCCAUUUAGGAAUGGGGCAUGGGAUCAGUGUUAGCGUUGCUUAGUUCCCCAGAGUGUUCUAAUGCGAAGCCAAAGUUGAGAGUCACUGAACAAAAACACCAUGAUCUCUAGAUCAUAAUCAUGGGAAAUAAAAUUAAAAGGGCGAUAUUUUAAAAAGAAGUCAAUGGACAGUCAGGGUGUGUGGUCUUCGCUUUGUGGAAAUUUUAUGUACACUUAUAUUUCUAUGUAGUCUUUUUAAUUCACAGAUAAUAUUUGUAGCUAUUCUAUUGACUUGGGUGUGUGGCAAAUGAGAGGUGUAGCCAGCUGCCCAUAUGCUGCGUGCUUUUGGGGUGCCCUGGAAUUAACCUGAGCUAAGGAUGGCGCAAGUGGUACCGCACAGCUGCUGUAUUGACCAGGCUCUGUGUAAUCUUGCAAAGGGCUUCAUUAUCAUGCCCAUUAGUGCCAACAAUAGCUAUUUUAUUACAAACCGUGAUCUCCCCACACUUCCCCCACUUUACAAAUUAAGAAAUGGUGUUUAAUUACUUGCCUCGGGCCUUGAGCUUGCUGGCAAGAGAGAUGAGAGUAGAAUUCUCAGCCACUGAAUUCCCCGUAUCUGCUUUGGCUCCCAAAGAAAGUGUGCCAGUCUCCUGUUACAGAAUACUCUGUACCUGGCAAUGUUAGUCCUUCGAUGAAUGAAUUAGUGUUAUGGCCCAGUAGGUAAAAGAUGACUAGACUGGCUGAGCUAUCAACGCUGUGCUGAGUGUUAGCGUCCGUCUGCAGGCAGCCACAGGGGUCCCAGGAGCCUACCUGAGCUUCCCUCCACGUGAAAGCUCAGCCAUGCACACCUACAGCUCAUCCACUCCUGCCUUUGGGAAGUGAAGGCUCCCUAGCCCCAGAGCUCUGUAGCUAUUGUGAUUUUUCUUUUUUUCUUUUCUGGAGCUUCGAUUCACCAAAUAGUGACUUUUAUUACAUACGAGAGGGGGAGAGAGAGAGAGAGAGAGAGAGAGAGAGAGAGAGAGAGAGAGAGAGAGAGAGAAAAACCCAGCAGUUUUUACAGCUGCAUUUUUAAAGAAUUCUUGCCACUGUAGGUCUUGUUCUGGGUUUAUUGCUAGUGGUGAGGCUGGGAGCUCUUUGUGAAAGCUAGUGGAGGGAAGCUAGAGUCCUGGCACUGCAGCCUCUUCAGGACAAGCAGAUAGGUCAAUUUUGUGCCAUCCCAAAUGGGUAUUCUCUUUUUCUCUAUCUUGCAAUCUAUUACUGAUUGAAGAACAAUUUCCAGUAUCUUUAUACCAAAACGCAAGCCUCAACACUGAUUGCAUGUGAGAAUCAUCUCAGGAGCUUUAACAAUGCGCUGCCCAGGCCCCAUCCGUAGAGCCCUUGCAUCAAGAUACUAAGACUGCGUCCUGGGCAUCCUAUUAACUUACUGUUCUUCAGGGAGCUGCAUAGCGCUUUGGGACGAGCUGAUCUUACUGCUCAGCUAAGACCCAAAUCUUCAUUACUUGUUUCUGUUUCUUGUUUUAGGUGGCAUGGACCUUAGAGAACCAUCCAAACCAUAUUUUUGUUGGGUAGCAGCACCAUCAUUGUCCUCUUUAGAAAGCAUGAUCUCGAAUAUAAUAUUAAGCUUUCUACCUGUCUAACUAGCGCCACACUCAGAGGGGCCCUGCAGAGCUUCGUGACUAAAAUCAUGCAUGUGCAGUGUGGAAAUCAGGUUGCCGGAAACUUGAUAAUUAUGAGAUUGAAAGAUAAACAUCAAGCUUCCCUACCUCCAUGCAUUACAUUUCCCAGUUCCUAUGUUGAUCUUUAGUUAACCAACACUUGCUUUUCUGUCUCAGACAUUUUAAAGUCAAUUAACUUUGUUCCUGUUGACACCCUUAUUAAAAAUACAAUUGAGGCCGUAUUCUCCAGGGACUGUCAUUGGGUAGAAUUUACAAGGUGAAUUGGCCCCAGAACUAACUCAGUUGUAUAAAACCCUCUCCGUCCCAGUAAAUGGGCCGGGUUGCAGAGGCUUCCAGCAUCAGACUGGGCUUAGGGGAGUCAUGAAUUUUGGUUUGGAAAGGGCCAAUUACAAGUCACCCUCAAUACAGAAGAACCUGGGAUAUGGAAAAUAACUCCAGAAUCAAUCUGAGAAUAAUUAUCCAGGGUCCAGUUAAGUCGAAGCCUCCAAUCUUUCUCAGAAAGUUGUAUCACUACCAAGAAGCAGCCAAGUUUUUGUACCGACUUGGGAGGCAGGGGAUGAGGUAACACUGAGCUUUUCUGGAGUCCUAAGAUGACAGGAUUAGAAGAUGAGAAGCUGUUAAGGGAGGUUGCAGGGAGGAGAUGGAUGAAGGUCUGCUGUGAGCCAUGCAUGUUGGGCAUUGGCCAUGUCUAUUCACUCCCCUGUUCUUUAUGGAGGGUCUGCUCUGUGCCAGGGAGCCUUAGAGGAGCCGGAAAUGGAGUGAUGAAGCUAUUGCUGUCGUGGAGUCUGUAUGCCAAUGAGAGCAAGUAUCCUCAUUGAAAAACAAACAAAUCAAACUGAAUGAGUUCGCGCUAUAAAAUAAUGAAGUGAAGGGAAGGGAAUAGAGUCUAAGAAAGGCUGCUUUCAACAGGCUUGCAGGAGUUGCUCUCUGAGGAGGUGGCGCUGGAGCCGGCACAAGAUUGUAAAGAGAAGCCACGCGGAGAUCAGGAAGAGAGAAGGCCAGACAGAGGGAACAGCAGGAGCAAAAGUCCUGAGCUUGGAAAAAGUUCGAUAUGUUUGGAAAACAGAUAGAACAGUGCAGCUGGGCCUCAGGGAGAAAGGGUCAAAAGUCAGGCAGGAAAGCAGCCCGUAGGUGGUGGGAUGGAGUUAGGACUUUAAGUGUUUUAAGGAAAUUAAUUUUAAGUAGGGGAGUUGUGUGUUUUACAUUGCAUUUUAGAGAUGGCUUGGGGCUCUAGAAGGGAUGGUAGAUUAGAGGCAGAGGGAGAACUGGGAGGCUGAGCAGGACAGACUGCAUGAGGAUGGAGCCACAAAGGCGGUAGCAUGGGGUAGAGUGUUGGAAUCUGGAGCAAGUGUCAAGGUAGGGCCAUCCUGGCGUUCAGACUGAAAGGGCCAGGAAAAGUGACAGCAGGCCUAGGCCUGUCUCAGACAAGUCUCCUGCCCCUUCCUGACUGCGGCCAAACUUGACUGGUUGUGAACCUGAGGUGUUGUUUGGAAACAUGAGGGCCUUUGACCUUAACUUGUUUAAACAAAAAGUCCAAAUUCCUUCCAAGACAACAUAACUGCUGCCUGCUUUUAACCUCCUAACCAUCAAAAUGUUAUCCUGUCUGAUAAGACCAUUCCUCUGGGUUUGGUUGUGUGUGUUGUUUAUUACUGUGCUUUUUAUAGGUGCUGAAAAUGUCAGGUUCCCAUUGCUAGUUGCUCUCUUCUCUGAGUAUUUCAACACCUGGGCUGUAUUUACUGAGUCCGCCAUGGGCCAGAUGUUCACACCUGGUGCCAGUUUCUCUAGAUCAAUGCGUCAUAGUAGCAGGCUCUCAAUGAGCACUCACUGUAUUCCAGGCAUUGUUUGAGAACUUCACAUUUUCACCCGUUCAACCCUCCCAGCCACCCUUUGAGUGAGUACUCAUUAUUAUUACUAUUUCAAAAGUGAAGAAACUGAGGUAGAUAAGAGGUUCUGUUGUUUGCUCAAGACCCCACAGCGGGCAAGGGGCAAAGCCAGGCUUUGACCUGCGGGGGACUGUGCCGUCCAGGCUCUGAGCCGCGAAGCUGCGCCCCUUCUCACCUGCCGCCUCUACACUCGCCUAUGGAACCAAAGCUGCUAUCUCCCUCGGUCACUGAACCGGCUCUCUUCAGAUUUAGGUUUGUUUCUUCUGAAAACAAAACAAAAACAACCCAAGGCCCCACUGGGAGGCCGCUCCCCUGGCCAGGGCUUCCAGAAGUGGGCUGGAGGGGAAAUGGCAGACCUUAGAGGCCCGGGGAUGCGGCCCCUUUGCAGGAGGGCCCCACAUCUAAGCCACCGGCCUCUGCCCAGGGGGCAGGAUGAACCCCACCUGGGGAGCCGGCUGUACAAGGUCGCCCACAGCAGAGGGCUCUGGGUGAAAUGCCCCCUCUUCUCCUCACCUCUCUUCUACCCAUGACUAAAGGGCCUGUGUGGUGCCCACCUGCCUGUCCCUCCUAGAGGGCUGAUGAAAUCCAAGUUAGUCAAUAGCUGUGCAGCGAAUUCUAGCUGCUCGCCAGGGUCAUUUGAGGCUGGCCCUUAGAAACCAAUAGAAAGAGUCAUUAAUUCAUUUGUUAGCAUGUUUCUGCUUUAAAAAUAUUGAAGACUCUCUCCAGAGGUUUAUCAUGAGCAGUGAAAAAAGCCUGGAGAACACAACAGCUCAGGCUGUCUCUCUACCUUUCACUGCAUAUCUGCUUCCAGAAAAGUCUUCUCUCAUAAUCAGCACACCAGUAGCAGACCUCCUCCCCUGCCUAGUGGGAGUAACAGCAAUGAACUGAACAGAAUCGAGCUUUGUACAAAGACAUUCAUUAUGGUUGCUUGAACUCCGUUAAUGAAUUCUUCAGCAAUGAUGGGAAAGGCAGGAAUUGUGAUGUUUCAUCGCCUAUGCUAUAAGUUUUAACUUGUUAUAUAUGUCAAUUAAAUAGCAGGCAUUUUUUUCUGCAAUUGCCAUAGGGUAGUUUCUCUCAGCAAUUGGAAUGCCUUCAUUGGAAAUGUUGAAUUCAUCUCAUCAACAAUCUGUUCAUUCCACUGUUUGCUUUUCAAUAAAAAUGCUAUUUUUAAAUGUCA